GUGAGGAAUAUUGGUCAAUGGACGGAAGUCUGAACCAGCCAAGUAGCGUGCAGGAUGACGGCCCUAUGGGUUGUAAACUGCUUUUAUGCGGGGGUAAAGUGAGUGACGUGUCAUUCAUUGCAAGUACCGCAAGAAUAAGGACCGGCUAAUUCCGUGCCAGCAGCCGCGGUAAUACGGAAGGUCCUGGUGUUAUCCGGAUUUAUUGGGUUUAAAGGGAGCGUAGGCCGUCAGGCAAGCGUGUUGUGAAAUGUCGUGGCUCAACCAUGGACUUGCAGCGCGAACUGCCCGACUUGAGUGCGCGGAAAGCAGGCGGAAUUUGUGGUGUAGCGGUGAAAUGCUUAGAUAUCACGAAGAACCCCGAUUGCGAAGGCAGCCUGCUGUAGCGCUACUGACGCUGAAGCUCGAAAGUGCGGGUAUCGAACAGGAUUAGAAACCCCAGUAGUCC
rnacentral:rRNA from 1 species